GCGGAGACAAGGUCGGUCUACAAUAAGGCCGGGUCUUAGUGGCGUCAUGACAAUCGAGCUCAGCGCGUGUUGAUUGGCCAACAGGCGGUCGGAUGGUUUGGACCAGUGUCAGCUGAGGUCGCGGUAAUGUGAGGGCUGCGAAUUUUUUAGAGGGUGGUGGUCUUAACUGCAUCUCGCCUACUAUUAAAAAGAUUCAUAAUUUUGGACCAAUCCAAUUUAUCAGAAAGGGAAAGUAUAUUGAAUACAGUUACCGUAAGAAUUGACAUGUGAAUUUAGGUCAAUAGAAGAAACACAAGGGGUGCAAAUAGUGAGGAACAAGCCAUAAACUAAAGUAAGAAAUACUGCGUGGGUGGAAUCUGACUAGGCAUUGCUGUUCUACUCAAGUCAGACACUGAUGUGAGUCAUCUACUUCAGGACAAUUAGGAAAGCAUGAGUCUGAUCAAGUGGAUCAGUUCAGAGUCUACCACGUUGGUUUGGAAUUGGAUUCACAGAUGGGCCAGACCAGGCAGCAAGACUUGGACAACAUUCAGCUUAAGCUGAAAAAGGGCAAUAACCAUUUACCCCACAAAAAUGUCAGACUAAACCACCUCCAACAAGAGGGGAGGCAGCCAUAUUCCCAGCAAAACAUUGAUCUCCCCUAAUGGUAGGUGAGUCAUUGCUGGACCAUUAAUACAGAAAUCUGGAUAAUGUGCUCUGGGGAUGUGGGUUCAACUUUGCCAUGGCAGACAGUCCAUUGGAAUUCAAUAAUAAAAUCUAGAAUCAAUAGCUUAAUGACUAUGAAACUAUUGGCAAUUGUCAGGAAAAACCCAUCUGGUUCACUCUUGAAAGAAAUCUGCCAAGUUUACCUGGUCUGGUCCACAUGUGACUUCAAACCCAUAGCAAUGUGCAAACAACAUCAAUGAUGAAACAUAACAAACGAUAAGACAGACAGUAAUCCCGACACUGACCAGAAGGAGCGAACUCAACACCCUCAACACAUUGGAAAGGCAAGCCCUGGAAGGACUGAA